rnacentral:rRNA from 2 species
GAUGAACGCUGGCGGCGCGCCUAACACAUGCAAGUCGAACGGUUAAAGCACCUUUUAGGUGAGUAUAAAGUGGCGAACGGCUGAGUAACACGUGGGCAACCUGCCCUCCUCUUGGGGAUAGCCUCGGGAAACCGAGGAUAAUACCCGAUACUUCAAUGUGGCCGCAUGACGACAUUGAGAAAGCUUUUGCGGAGAAGGAUGGGCCCGCGGCCUGUUAGCUUGUUGGUGGGGUAGAGGCCUACCAAGGCAAUGAUGGGUAGCUGGGUUGAGAGACCGACCAGCCAGAUUGGGACUGAGACACGGCCCAGACCCCUACGGGAGGCAGCAGUGGGGAAUCUUGCACAAUGGGCGAAAGCCUGAUGCAGCGACGCCGCGUGCGGGACGAAGGCCUUCGGGUUGUAAACCGCUUUCAGCAGGGACGAGGCGAAA